AACGUAGGACGCGAGCGUUAUCCGGAGUUACUGGGCGUAAAGCGCGGGCAGGCGGUCUGACAAGUCUGAUGUGAAAUCUCCGGGCUCAACCGGGAGAGGCCAUUGGAAACUGACAGGCUGGAGGGCAGUAGAGGUAGGCGGAAUUCCGGGUGGAGUGGUGAAAUGCGUAGAGAUCCGGAGGAACACCAGAGGCGAAGGCGGCCUACUGGGCUGCACCUGACGCUGAGCCGCGAAAGCCAGGGGAGCGAACGGGAUUAGAAACCCCUGUAGUCC
rnacentral:rRNA from 1 species